AUCACCUGAGGACCUUGUUAGAAUGCAGAUUCUGAUUCAGCAAGUCAGCCUGGGGUUCUGCAUUUUAACAAGCUCCCAGGUGAUUCUGA
rnacentral:pre_miRNA from 1 species